GCAGUUAAAAAGCUCGUAGUCGAAUUUUUAAGGGAAUCAAUUUUAUGUGGUCUUAAUGAACUGCAAAGGAAGAUGAUUUAUCUUAUUUUAUGCUUUUGCACCAUUGGAAUUCGUUUUCUGAUAGUGGAGUAAGUUUGUGUUUACUUUGAGAAAAUUAGAGUGUUCAAAGCAGUCUUACGGCUUUAUAUUAAAGCAUGGAAUGAUAAAUAAUGACAUCGGUAAAUUUUUGUUGGUUUGAGAGACUGAUGUAAUGAUUUAUAGAGUUAGUCGGAGGUAUUAGUAUUUUAUCGUUAGAAGUGAAAUUCUGGGAUCGACAAAAGACUAACAACUGCGAAAGCAUUUACCUAGAAUGUGCUCCUUGAUCAAGAACGUAAGUUGGGGGAUCGAAGACGAUCAGAUACCGUCGUAGUCUCAACUUUAAACUAUAUCAGCUAGGGGUUUGCAAAUGUUUAUAUGACUUUGUUAGAACCUUAAGAGAAAUCAAAGCGUUUGGGUUCCGGGGGGAGUAUGGUCGCAAGGCUGAAAACUUAAAGGAAUUGACGGAAGGGCACC
rnacentral:rRNA from 1 species